rnacentral:rRNA from 1 species
UACGGGAGGCAGCAGUCGGGAAUAUUGGGCAAUGGGGGGAACCCUGACCCAGCAACGCCGCGUGAGGGAAGAAGGUUUUCGGAUCGUAAACCUCUGUCCUUGGUGAAGAGGAAGAGACGGUAGCCAAGGAGGAAGCCCCGGCUAA